rnacentral:lncRNA from 1 species
AGCGGGCUACGUUGGUGCUGGAGAGGCACCACACUCCUGCAUGCACGCCCACCCCCAAUCCUUCCCCCCAACACGGGGGGUGGUGGGGGGCAAAAACAACCCGGGGCGCUGACGUCACCCAGGCGGAGGCGCCUACCGCUGUACCCUCACUGUAUGCAGUUGUUGGAGAUGCUCGGUUUAGCAGAGACAUUGAGAGAGAGAGAGAGAGAUGGAGCCCUUGGCCUUCUGUCACAAGAGCUGGCAAAUGGCCCGCCCGGCUAGCCCUGCCCUAGCCAGUCCCAGAGCCACAGAUCUGGGAUCUGCCAGCCGUGCUAUUUGCCUCACCGAGUGGGUCUACUCAUAGUUUUCCACGAGACUUGACAAGGAAGGAACAAACCCCACAACUCUAAAGGAUCUCAGGUAGCCCAGGCUGACCUGGAAUUUACUUCAUAGACCUUGUACACCUGAUCCUCCACCUUCACCUCCUGAGUGCUGGCAUCACAGCUUACUGAAGAUAAGGUGAAUCCCUUCACUCAAGGCUCUUUGUGAUCUGACAACUUUCUUUGGGAACAAAAGAAGCUGACAGGCGUCUUAAUGACUUCUCAUAGAUGCCUUAGUCACCCACAUGUUCACACGCUGGGUGUCACAUAGCACUGCAGUUAAAGGCCAGCUUGUGAGCAGUACCUUCUUUCAGUGGUACAUAAACUACAGGCUGAGCCCGGUGUGCAUACUUGUAACCUCAACUGUUCCGGUGGCCGAACCAGGAGAAUCACAAGUGUGAGACUGGCCUGCUUAGACUACAGAGUGACUUCAAGGCUAAAUUGAGCAACUUAAUGAGAUUGGCUCUCAAAAGAGUGAAAAAGAGCUGGGCAUGCAGCUUAGAAUCAAAGUAUUUCUCCAGCGUGUGUGAGCCUGAGGUUCAAUCCCCAGGACUGGGAAACAAAAACAAAGAAAUAAGAAAAGCUAACUGACUUCAUUUUCAUUUUGAGAGCAUCACUGCCCAUCACAGGAAAACAGUUCAUACAUCUGAAGAUGCCAAGAGGAACAAGGAUCACACGGAGGCUCCGUAGAGCAGAGAGCAGGAGGAAGAGGAAGAGCAAGAGAAUGAUUUCCUUCUUGUCCAUGCUUAUAUUCUGAGUCUGCCUGCUAUGUCACUUCCUGCCUGGAUCUCUACUACAUUUCCUAGAAUCCUCCUUGACUCCUAGUUCCACCUGUCUUGCUUUCCCAUUGGCCAACAGUACUUUAUUGACCAACCAAUAAGACAAACUUAUACACAGAAGGACGUGCCCCAUCCGACUAGUGCUUAGAAGAAUUGAUUAAGCUUCUAUGCUUUAUGUCACAUAAAUGUCACUAAAACAGGAACCGUGUCUUCUGGAGUUUAUUGUCAUGAUAUUGACCUAGGGAGAUUUCAUGGAAUUGCAUAUUUCUGUAUGCUCUUGAAAUUUGGUGCACGGUCACCUGUG